AGCGUAGAGAGUGGAUGAGGAGUCGCCCCCAUAUUGGGGGCCGGAACUCUAGUGUUUUUGAGAGGAUCGCUUUUGAAAUUUCGGAGAUUUUUGGUUUUACUUGGGUGGCGAGCGCUCGGACAUUUGGCUGUAUGUUGUGGUGGCGUGGUGGAUGCGUUGGGGUACCGGGGAUCGGGGGUUGUAGGUUCGAUUCUCUGUGGUUCCCGCGUUUUUUUUUUCCUCUCUGGUCUUUUGUACUUUUUAAAAUUUACAUUAUAUUUGGAUUUUUAACAAUUAUUUAGCAAUUUUUGGAUGAUUAUUUCAAAUGUUUUGGGCGAUCG
rnacentral:lncRNA from 1 species